rnacentral:rRNA from 1 species
CGACAGUGCGAUAAGGGGACUCCAAGUGCGAGGGCAUAUAGUCCUCGCUUUUCUGUACCGUAGGGAGGUACAGGAACAAGUGCUGGGCAAGACCGGUGCCAGCCGCCGCGGUAAUACCGGCAGCACGGGUGAUGGCCGAUAUUAUUGGGCCUAAAGCGUCCGUAGCCGGCCAAACAAGUCCGUUGGGAAAUCGACGCGCUCAACGCGUCGGCGUCCGGCGGAAACUGUUUGGCUUGGGGCCAGAAGAUCUGAGGGGUACGUCCGGGGUAGGAGUGAAAUCCCGUAAUCCUGGACGGACCACCGGUGGCGAAAGCGCCUCAGAAAGAUGGACCCGACGGUGAGGGACGAAAGCUAGGGUCUCGAACCGGAUUAGAUACCCGGGUAGUCCUAGCUGUAAACGAUGCUCGCUAGGUGUGCCACAGGCUACGAGCCUGUGCUGUGCCCUAGGGAAGCCGAGAAGCGAGCCGCCUGGGAAGUACGUCCGCAAGGAUGAAACUUAAAGGAAUUGGCGGGGGAGCACCACAACCGGAGGAGCCUGCGGUUUAAUUGGACUCAACGCCGGAAAUCUCACCGGUCCCGACAACGGUAACGACGGUCAGUUUGACGAACUUACCCGAGCCGUUGAGAGGAGGUGCAUGGCCGCCGUCAGCUCGUACCGUGAGGCGUCCUGUUAAGUCAGGCAACGAGCGAGACCCGCACUUCUAGUUGCCAGCAAUACCCUUGAGGUAGUUGGGUACACUAGGAGGACUGCCGCUGCUAAAGCGGAGGAAGGAACGGGCAACGGUAGGUCAGUAUGCCCCGAAUGGACCGGGCAACACGCGGGCUACAAUGGCUCUGACAGAGGGAUGCGACGCCGAGAGGCGAAGCUAAUCUCUAAACGGAGUCGUAGUUCGGAUUGCGGGCUGAAACUCGCCCGCAUGAAGCUGGAUUCGGUA